rnacentral:rRNA from 1 species
GACGAACCGUCCUAACGUUGUUCGGAAUCACUGGGCUUAAAGGGCGCGUAGGCGGCUUGCCAAGUCAGGGGUGAAAUCCUGCAGCUUAACUGUAGAAGGGCCUUUGAUACUGGCGAGCUCGAGGGAGGUAGGGGUAUGUGGAACUUCCGGUGGAGCGGUGAAAUGCGUUGAUAUCGGAAGGAACGCCGGUGGCGAAAGCGACGUACUGGACCUCGUCUGACGCUGAGGCGCGAAAGCUAGGGGAGCAAACGGG